CACUGUUCCUCCUCUCUGAGGCUUUUCCCUCAGCUUUCCAGCCAGCUGCCUGUGACAUAGCCUGUAUUUUCCUCUGGGUGAUCCACAGGCCUGGGAGGGUUAAUUUGUGGAUCAAUCUUCCUGUCCUACAACUGACCAAGGAUCCCCUAAAGACCCCUGGAAGGCUGGACCAUGGCACAAGAACUGCCUUCAUCCAUCACCGGGAGCAAGUGUGGAAGAGAUGCAUCAACAUUUGGCGUGAUGUGGGCCUUUUUGGGGUGCUAAAUGAAAUUGCAAACUCAGAAGAAGAGGCUCAGGAGCGAAGAUCUGAUCGCUGAAUUUGCCCAAGUCACAAAUUGGUCCAGCUGCUGCUUGCGUGUCUUUGCAUGGCACCCCCACACCAACAAGUUUGCAGUGGCCCUGCUAGAUGACUCAGUCCGUGUGUAUAAUGCCAGCAGCACCAUAGUCCCCUCCCUGAAGCACCGGCUGCAGCGAAAUGUGGCGUCUCUGGCCUGGAAGCCCCUUAGUGCCUCUGUCUUGGCUGUGGCCUGCCAGAGCUGCAUUCUUAUCUGGACCCUGGACCCUACCUCCUUGUCUACCCGACCCUCUUCUGGCUGUGCCCAAGUGCUGUCUCACCCUGGGCAUACACCUGUUACCAGCUUGGCCUGGGCCCCCAGUGGGGGGCGGCUGCUCUCAGCUUCACCCGUGGAUGCUGCUAUCCGGGUAUGGGAUGUCUCAACAGAGACCUGUGUCCCCCUUCCCUGGUUUCGAGGAGGUGGGGUGACCAACCUGCUCUGGUCCCCAGACGGCAGCAAAAUCCUGGCUACCACUCCUUCAGCUGUCUUUCG
rnacentral:sRNA from 1 species